GUGGGGAAUAUUGGACAAUGGGCGAAAGCCUGAUCCAGCCAUGCCGCGUGUGUGAAGAAGGUCUUCGGAUUGUAAAGCACUUUAAGUUGGGAGGAAGGGCAGUAAGUUAAUACCUUGCUGUUUUGACGUUACCGACAGAAUAAGCACCGGCUAACUUCGUGCCAGCAGCCGCGGUAAUACGAAGGGUGCAAGCGUUAAUCGGAAUUACUGGGCGUAAAGCGCGCGUAGGUGGUUUUGUAAGUUGGAGGUGAAAUCCCCGGGCUCAACCGGGGAACUGCCUCCAAAACUGCAUGACUAGAGUACGGUAGAGGGUAGUGGAAUUUCCUGUGUAGCGGUGAAAUGCGUAGAUAUAGGAAGGAACACCAGUGGCGAAGGCGACUACCUGGACUGAUACUGACACUGAGGUGCGAAAGCGUGGGGAGCAAACAGGAUUAGAUACCCUUGUAGUCC
rnacentral:rRNA from 1 species